GCCCUCUCCAGACCUGCUCAGCUUCUCUGUGCACCUGUAGGAGUAUGAAAGUCUGGUCCAGAGAGAAUUCUUUCUCAGAGGACAGUGCUGCACAUAAAGACAGCAGACCCGGAAGGAUGAAAUGAUGUGAAACAGAACUACUGACUGAAGUCUCAGUGUGUUUUAUCAUAGAACAUCCUACAGGCAAGGCGGAAUGUUUCGAUUCAAAAGGUACGUUGAAUGUAGCUGGAGAUACCACCAUUCUUUCUGCGUGUAUCUCCCUGUUUCCCCAUUUGUGUGAUUGUGUGUCAGCCUCUGAAACAAUUCCAAUGUGCUUUUCUUCAUUUGUGUAUCGAUAAUGCAAGGAGACUUUAAAAUUUCCAAACUCUGAAAUAGAAACAUGGAGAAAAUGACUUGCUUCUGGAACAACCCAAUGCUGAGGUGACUUGAGGAGCCUUUUUGCCAUAGGUUAACUGGAUUUUUCCCUCUGCUGACUGAGCUUAUAUGGACAAUAUACGUCAAACCUCUUCAUGAAGACACUCUGUGUUCCUGCAAUGGUAUCUGCAGUCCAUCUGACAAACUGAGUCUGUGCUGACAGUUGAAAUAAUUCUUCCUGGAGAAAGGUGCAAUAAUUAUUAAUCUGAUGGAACAAAUCCACAGGUGUCCCCUUUAACAAUAAAAUAAGCUGUCAAAAUGUCAAGAUGUGUUGACUUCACAACAAGCAAGAAAACAAGAAACCUUGUGAAACAGCAUGAGAAUAGAAAUGCUAUAAGAGAAAACUUAGCUUUACUGUACAUUUUUCAACAUUUACUUAGAUCAUGUAUCUAAAAAUAAGAAUGUCUGCCUUUCCCAUUAAAUUAGUCUCAGCCAGACUAUGUUGUCAAAUACAUACGUUAUAUAAAACCUAAAGAAAAAGGGUAUUAAAAAUAGAAGAAAGUAAAUAAAACAAAAAAUAGAAAGCACACAAGUAUCUUGCCUUGAAAAAAGAGAUUUGCUUUCAUAUACAUAAAAACAAAUGACUCUUUUAUCCUGACAUGUGUAUCUUUAUUUAGAGGUGUAUGUACAGGAAUUUCCCAAACUACAGAGGAUCUGUCAGCAGAGUUUGUGAUAUAUAUCUGAGUACUCUAUGCAUCAAUUUCUUCUGCAGAACAAUGUGAAAGCUUGCUUACAGCGGUACACCCAUACAUUUGUUUUUAACAUUAAAGAAAACCAUCAGAAUAAAUUCUGCACAAUCCAUUGCUCAAACAGACCACCUAAAUGUGUGUAUUUACUAUUGGCUGGUCUAAGAAUGUAUGUAUUGAAAAAUGCAGAUUCAGGCCAACUGAACUAUUUGUAUAUAAUUCAAAAGAUGGGCUCCUCUCAGGAAAAAAGUUUAAAGAGACAUCAAAGCGUUUUAUUUUGUUUCAACAUUUCAAAGCAAAUUUGUUUCUAUUUUUUACUUCCCCGCUGCUUCAUUUCAAAGUACUUCUUUUUAAAGAGUAAAACAUUAAGACAUUUUUAAGAUUUUUGUUUUGUUAGAAAAGCUAAUGAAAAUAGUUUAGAUUAACACGAAGCCAGCCGCUAGCUGUCUGGGGUGGUUUGGGAUCACCUAGCAACACAAGCAUCUGUUGAGCUUAUCGCUUCAAAUAACUUCAAAUGAGAGGAGACGUUAGAAGAAACUGUAUCCCACCACUUGAUAAGUAAAAUUCAAUCAUAUGUCUCAUCGUAUGAUUGAAUGCAUGGAGGAGGUCUGUACUUAUACAAAACUGCUAAAAAGUUGAUCUCCACUCCUCAAAGCAUAGAGUUUCAUUGUCCUUAUAUUAGAACAGUUGAUAUCAAAUAUUUCAAGUCAACUCCAUGCAAACAAUUGUCUGAUGUCAUACGGUUGAAUGUUUCCUCUGAGAUGUUAGGGUCAGCAAGAUCUGCUGCAUUUUUAUGGAGAGUUCCAUAAAGCUCACUAGGAAAAGCAAUACUACAAAAGGAAAGGAAGAAAGAAGAGUAAUAAAAGUGAAGUUCUCAGUAGCAUUUAGAUUAAGACCGCCUACCAAACUAACUGAGCUCUUUGGGAAGGGCUUGCUUCCACACUAAGUUCUCAAAGCAACAAUAAUAAAUCCUGUAAGAGAUCAUAACUGGAUUUCCAUGGCAGCAUCUUCACAUUCUAAUAUUACCCUGAUUCAAUUUCUCAAGUUGGUGGUACAUAUUUCUCGGAGGGUCUCACAAAGACCAUUUUUCUUAUGUGCUUUGGGACUCAUCAGUGGAUAGGAAGAGUGCUGGUAACAGAUGGCAUGUUUGCUGCACUGUAAUAUCAGAAGAAGAUUUGUGCUGGUUUUCUUCUGCAAUUUGUUUAAUUUUACAGGU